ACCAUUUCUAAAAAAGAUUUAAAAAUUGAGUAAUUAUUUAACCUUAAGCAUAUGGCUCCAUGAGUUUUGAAAAAUAUUCACAUAUGUGCAUCGCACGCCCAGGUGGGAAUAGGGGUCAAGGGUCACUUUCUCCCAUAAGGAUGUCCCUUUGCUCCUAUACCAUUUGCUGGCAAGUCUUGUCCCUGUGAAAUUGCUGUGAUGUCUUUGUAAAGAAAUCACUGACUAUGUAGAUGUGGGUCUGUCUCUGGACUCUUCUAUUUCUACCCUAUGCCAAGGCCAUAUGCUUUUAGCUUAUUUAUUUUUCUCUCUGUGUGUUGGGGAUGGAGCCUGGGGCUGUGUGCAUGCUAGGGAAGUGGUCCGACAGACUUGGACCACAGAUCUAUUUCUAUCUUUUAUUGGAUGAGCUUUCUUUGACUUCUUAUUUUUAACUUAACAUAUUUUAUUUCAACUCCUCCUUUGGUGUUUUCUCAAAAAUAUACCAUGUACACAUAAUGUAUACAUAUUUAAAAUAAUACCUACAUAAGUUUACAUUUUUAGUCUCCUGGUAAAUAAUAUGCAGACCCUGGCGCAAUUUGGUUUUCCUCAAAAUGUUCCCCUCCCAUUCUCCAUGCAACUUGUUUCCUAGAAUUAUUUAAAAACCAGGUCAUUAAACUACUUACAAGUAGUGAAUAAUUACAUUUUCCAAGUAAUUACACAAUUUGCAGUCAAUGUGUAUUUAGAUUUUUGAACCAAUAUUUGCCAUUUUAUGUCCUUACUAAUGUUUCUAGUCUUACACACUCUAUUUUAUCAAGUCCACUCUCUGACACUUCUUUCAGGGAGGGACUGUGAAGAGGAAUUCUUGUUUGUCUCUAUUUUUAAAAGCAAAUUUCAGCCCAGAAUUGUAUACCCAAAUGACCCCAAAUCAGGAGCUGUUCCAUUUCUAAGGUCUGGUUCCUGAAGAAUUUAACUUGUCCAGAUCUUCACAAGGGCCAUGCAUUUUGAUUUCUGCUUUCUACUGGGGCUAAGUUCCCAGUGGCCCCUGGAACAUUUUGUCUGUUGCUUUCUGAUUAGGCGCUGUGGUUUUUAAACGUGAGUGCUAUUCGGCACGUGUUUGGGCCUCCACCAUGAGCAGGGGUGGUUUGAGUCAGAGAAAACAGCCUGGGUGCUGUCCUGGUGCAGCAGGGGCUUGGAGAGAAUGCCUGUGACUGUGGCCUUGGGAGGAAGCGGGGAGCUUGUGGAUGUGAUUUCAAGGGCAGGCCCUGACACACAGGGCCAGCAAGGAAUUGUGAGUUCAUGGUGUAAUGGAAACCCACAGACACAUUUUAAGCAGAAAAGUGACCUGAUAGACUUCCCUAACUUGGCAUUUACUGCUGUCUUUCUCUCUCUCUUUUUUUGUCCAGCUUCUUAGAACCCUUGGUGUUACUUUCACAUACUUAUGUCUGUUUCCACAGCUUCCAAGCAUUUACAUUCUGAGAAUGCUUUCCACAAUCUAAAUAAAGUCUCCAACAUUAGCCUGCAGACUAUAAGAAACCAUGUUAAGGUGCUUGCUUAACCCCGGGGUUAUAAAUUGCAUGACUCAUAGGAGGCAAAAAUAUAAUUUGCAUUAGAUUUGGCCAACUUUUGGUUAAAUUAAAAUACAUCAGGUAAUUAUUCAAGAAAUGCAUUGCAAGAAAAAGAGAUGAAGCAGGAGCCUAUAGAUUAAAAGAGUCCUAAAAGAAAUAUUUACAGUCACAAUAUAGAGACUUUAUUUGGAAUUAUGAUUUAAACUUAAAAAAUAAAGCAUUAUUGGAACAAGA
rnacentral:lncRNA from 1 species